GACGAACGCUGGCGGCGUGGAUUAGGCAUGCAAGUCGAACGGUAUCAUCCUUUCGGGGGUGAGAGAGUGGCGAACUGGUGAGUAACACGUAGGUUAUCUACCCUCAAGACGGGGACGAACCCAGGGAAACUUGGGCUAAUACCGGAUGUGAGCAACUUUUAGUUGUUUGAAAGGUGGCGUAAGCUGUCGCUUGGGGAUGAGCCUGCGUCCUAUUAGUUAGUUGGUGAGGUAACGGCUCACCUAGGCAAUGAUAGGUAGGCGGCCUUAACGGGUGGUCGCCCACACUGGGAUUGAGAUACGGCCCAGACUCCUACGGGAGGCAGCAGUCGAGAAUAGUCUACAAUGGUCGGAAGACUGAUAGUGCGACGCCGCGUGAACGAUGAAUCCCUUCGGGUGUAAAGUUCUUUUAUAUGUGAGCAGUGCUUCUUAUAUUAACAGUAUGGGGAGAGAGAUAUUAGCAUAUGAAUAAGCAACGGCUAACUCCGUGCCAGCAGCCGUGGUAAACUCGU
rnacentral:rRNA from 1 species